UGCCUUUGUGUUGCCCACUUAAUUCUCAAUAGAUAAGUGUGGUGUCAGAAAAGGCAUACAGUAACUUCAGCUGUUCCAGUUUAUUCUGUCGCUGUCAUGCUUCAGUUUAUUGUGAUUUGGCUGAAACACAU